UGGUACAUAAGAGCUCAAUGAGUGUUUGCUGCGUUGAAUGAGUGAUGCAGAAUUUCAGACACCAAGCAAGAUGCUGAAGACUGUAGGGAUGCUGAAACAUGCUGGUGAGCAGGGAAGAAGAUGCCGUUUCAUGUGGCCUUGCAAUGCAAACAUUUGGGGAGUGUUCAGUUCCUCUGCCACAUUGGACGUAUACUCAUUUUUAUUGGAGCUCCACUGACUUUGUUUCCAUGGGGAAAUUGGUGCUUAACUGAAAGACUUUGGUAAAUGACUAGGAUUCUUUUGAGAAUGGGAAGGAAUGCCAUCUAUGCUGAGGCAAUAGAUAUAACUCAAGAAGGCUCUUGGGAAACCUGGAGAUCCAGAUGACAGCUCUCGAGUAACUGACCUGCUGACUGGGAAGCAAGGAAGUCCUCAUUCGCAGGCAGUCAGCUACAAGGCAAGUUUGAGGCAUGAGAGAAUUCUUCCAGGUGAAGAUAACACAUAUAACUUGUUCCAGUGUGCUUUUGUGUUCUAGUCAUAUUCUUUCUCUAAUUAGUAUCAAACAUACAAGAAAAUAAAUCUCCGAAACAUAACAACCCCUUAAAAUGUGCAGAAC